rnacentral:rRNA from 1 species
CAGCCGCCACGGUAAUACGAAGGGGGCCAGCGUUGUUCGGAUUUACUGGGCGUAAAGCGCACGUAGGCGGAUCGAUCAGUCAGGGGUGAAAUCCCAGAGCUCAACUCUGGAACUGCCUUUGAUACUGUCGAUCUGGAGUAUGGAAGAGGUGAGUGGAAUUCCGAGUGUAGAGGUGAAAUUCGUAGAUAUUCGGAGGAACACCAGUGGCGAAGGCGGCUCACUGGUCCAUUACUGACGCUGAGGUGCGAAAGCGUGGGGAGCAAACAGGAUUAGAGACCCGUGUAGUCCCUGUCUCUUAUAC